rnacentral:lncRNA from 10 species
GCGGCGGUGAGCGGCGGGCUAGAAGGCGGCUGCGGCUGCCCUGGCUCUGCUCUUGACCGCCGCCAGCCCCGGGAACUUUCCGACGCCGCCGGGAGACGGGGGACGGGCAGCCCGGGCUGGGACGCGGCCGGACCGCUGGAGCCGUGCGGGCUGGGGAAGAAGGUCUGCUGCGCCUCUGCCAACGUCCCGGGGCCUGGGACCCGGGGGCGUCGUGGGACCCCCGUGGGGACGGGUUUUCCUUUCCGAGACUCCGCGGAGAAACCUGGCGGCCGCCAGCGGAGCAUGCUUUUCCGGGGGGCGCUGGCCCCGAUACUGUGGCACCUUGCGGGGCUCUGCCCGGACCAUGGCUGACGUCGACGGCCCUCGGAGGCCUCCAAGCCACACAACCUGCCCGGACCCCUGGAAAUAUGCCCCAUCCUACCUCCCCGCCUUUCUCCAGACAACAUCCUGUGUCGCUUUCUUUCCUCAGCCUGUUUUCUACAGCAGGGAUUCGCACCCACUGCACCCUAAACCCAGCAGGGGGACUUCCGUGGCUGGAAACUACUGAAUUGUUCUUUCAGAGGUCUCUCAGGACGGCACCACUAGGUCCCCAUUCUCCUUGAUAGUGAACUCUGCAGCCCUCUCCUUGGGGUUUCAAGUCUUUUUUUUUUUUUUUUUUUUUUUAAUGAGACGGAGUCUAGCCCUUGUCGCCCAGGCUGGAGUGCAGUGGCACGAUCUCGGCUCACUGCAACCUCCGCCUCCCGGUUUCGAGCGAUUCUCCUGCCUCAGCCUCCCUAGUAGCUGGGAUUACAGGCACCUGCCACCACACCUGGCUAAUUUUUGUGUUGUUAGUAGAGACGGGGUUUCACCAUGUUGGCCAGGCUGGUAUGGAACUCCUGACCUCAGGAGACGUGUCUUUAGGAAGCAGAGAGGGUUCGAUUCUGGACUCCGCCCAUGACUCACUUCUCUUGUAAAGAAAGAGUUGUCCUUCCUGGUACUCCAGGUUUAUGGGAUGCAGGAUAAUGGAGCAUGCUCUAUCUGGGACAUUGCUAGUCUUAUGACAGAGGGAGAAGACAGCGAUGAGUUUUCGAAGAACUCCAGGAAGUGGCUGCAGAGCAAAGUAGGAUCCUGAUACUGGUAAUUUUCUUGGCUUGUUGGAAAAAUAACUUGAUAUAUCAUUGCACAUAUUUCAAAACCACAUGCAAAAGAGUACAAGAAAAUAAUAACAAAUGCUUUCAAGAGG